AGAUUAUGAAUGAAUAGAUUACUGGGGGAAUCGUCUGAACAAGGCCUGCGCUUAAUUGCGCGGCCAGUUCUUGAUUCUCUGCUAUCAGUUUUCUAUUUCUCAUCCUAAACACAAUGGAGUUUUUUCUCUAUGAACUACUUCCCUGGAGAGCUCGUCUCUCCAGUGGACAUAAACACAAACAAUAUUUUGUAUUAUGAAAAACUAUUAUACUAUAAAAUUUAAUAUUCAAAACUUUCAACAACGGAUCUCUUGGUUCUCGCAUCGAUGAAGAACGCAGCGAAUUGCGAUAUGUAUUGUGAAUUGCAGAUUUUCGUGAAUCAUCAAAUCUUUGAACGCACAUUGCGCCCUCUGGUAUUCCAGGGGGCAUGCCUGUUUGAGCGUCAUUUCUCUCUCAAACCUUUGGGUUUGGUAGUGAGUGAUACUCGUCUCGGGUUAACUUGAAAGUGGCUAGCCGUUGCCAUCUGCGUGAGCAGGGCUGCGUGUCAAGUCUAUGGACUCGACUCUUGCACAUCUACGUCUUAGGUUUGCGCCAAUUCGUGGUAAGCUUGGGUCAUAGAGACUCAUAGGUGUUAUAAAGACUCGCUGGUGUUUGUCUCCUUGAGGCAUACGGCUUUAACCAAAACUCUCAAAGUUUGACCUCAAAUCAGGUAGGAGUACCCGCUGAACUUAAGCAUAUCAA
rnacentral:misc_RNA from 1 species